GAUUGAACGCUGGCGGCGUGCCUAACACAUGCAAGUCGAGCGGCAGCGCGGGAGCAAUCCUGGCGGCGAGCGGCGGACGGGUGAGUAACGCUUGGGAAUCUGCCUGUUAGUGGGGGACAACCCGGGGAAACGUCGGGCUAAUACCGCAUACGCACUACGGUGGAAAGCCGGGGACCGCAAGGCCUGGCGCUAACAGAUGAGCCCAAGUCGGAUUAGCUAGUUGGUAGGGUAACGGCCUACCAAGGCGACGAUCCGUAACUGGUCUGAGAGGACGACCAGUCACACCGGAACUGAGACACGGUCCGGACUCCUACGGGAGGCAGCAGUGGGGAAUAUUGGACAAUGGGGGAAACCCUCGAUCCAGCGACGCCGCGUGGGUGAAGAAGGCCUGCGGGUUNUAAAGCCCUUUCAGUGGGGAAGAAAAGCCUCGACCUAACACGUC
rnacentral:rRNA from 1 species